GAGUACAAUACUUGCUCCCUCCGAUCUCUAGUCUUCUUGAUUUACUCUUUUCUUGUGUGUUUUCAGAGUGAAGAUUGAACAUAAGACUUGAAUGUAAUAAAAAAAUGGGAGAGGGGAAAAAAGAGGGGAAGAGUGGAUGCUUUAGUGUUACAAUAGUUCUUUGUAUACUUUUGAUCGUGGGAUUAGAUGUUAUCGCUGGUUUCGUGGCAAUGCAAGCCGAAGUCGCCCAACAAGAGGUGAAACACACGAGGGUAUAUAUGGUUACUCGAGUGUAAAUAUCCAAGCCAAAAAGCUUUCGUGUUAGGGAUAAUAGCAUUAGGUUGUUUGGUAGCAGCUCAUAUCAUCGCCAUUUUUAUAGGAUGCAGCAUCUCCAAUAUGAUCAAAGUACUCGCCGUACCUAAGCUCUGUGCAUACAUCAACAUGGCAUGUCUUUCUCUCACUUGGAUCGUAGCAAUUUUCGGAGCGGGGGUACUUACGAUGGGGAUAUGGACGAACAGAGAGUCGAGAUCAAAACGCGGAU